UACGGGGGGGGCAAGCGUUGUUCGGAAUUACUGGGCGUAAAGGGCUCGUAGGCGGCCAAUUAAGUCGGACGUGAAAUCCCCAGGCUCAACCUGGGAACUGCGUCCGAUACUGGAUGGCUUGAAUCCGGGAGAGGGAUGCAGAAUUCCAGGUGUAGCGGUGAAAUGCGUAGAUAUCUGGAGGAAUACCGGUGGCGAAGGCGGCAUCCUGGACCGGCAUUGACGCUGAGGAGCGAAAGCCAGGGGAGCAAACGGG
rnacentral:rRNA from 1 species